rnacentral:rRNA from 1 species
GCGGCGGACGGGUGAGUAACACGUGGGUAACCUGCCCAUAAGACUGGGAUAACUCCGGGAAACCGGGGCUAAUACCGGAUAACAUUUUGAACCGCAUGGUUCGAAAUUGAAAGGCGGCUUCGGCUGUCACUUAUGGAUGGACCCGCGUCGCAUUAGCUAGUUGGUGAGGUAACGGCUCACCAAGGCAACGAUGCGUAGCCGACCUGAGAGGGUGAUCGGCCACACUGGGACUGAGACACGGCCCAGACUCCUACGGGAGGCAGCAGUGGUCA